UACGUAGGGCGCAAGCGUUGUCCGGAAUUAUUGGGCGUAAAGCGCGUGUAGGCGGCAUUGCAAGUCGGGUGUGAAAGCCCUCGGCUCAACCGAGGAAGUGCAUCCGAAACUGCUGAGCUUGAGUACUUAAGAGGAUCGCGGAAUUCCAGGUGUAGCGGUGAAAUGCGUAGAUAUCUGGAGGAACACCGGUGGCGAAGGCGGCGUUCUGGACUGUUUCUGACACUGAAAAACGAAAGCCAGGGGAGCAAACGGGG
rnacentral:rRNA from 1 species